GACGAACGUUGGCGGCGUGCUUAACACAUGCAAGUCGAACGGAAAGGCCCUGCUUUUGUGGGGUGCUCGAGUGGCGAACGGGUGAGUAACACGUGAGUAACCUGCCCUUGACUUUGGGAUAACUUCAGGAAACUGGGGCUAAUACCGGAUAGGAGCUCCUGCUGCAUGGUGGGGGUUGGAAAGUUUCGGCGGUUGGGGAUGGACUCGCGGCUUAUCAGCUUGUUGGUGGGGUAGUGGCUUACCAAGGCUUUGACGGGUAGCCGGCCUGAGAGGGUGACCGGCCACAUUGGGACUGAGAUACGGCCCAGACUCCUACGGGAGGCAGCAGUGGGGAAUAUUGCACAAUGGGCGGAAGCCUGAUGCAGCAACGCCGCGUGCGGGAUGACGGCCUUCGGGUUGUAAACCGCUUUCGCCUGUGACGAAGCGUGAGUGACGGUAAUGGGUAAAGAAGCACCGGCUAACUACGUGCCAGCAGCCGCGGUGAUACGUAGGGUGCGAGCGUUGUCCGGAUUUAUUGGGCGUAAAGGGCUCGUAGGUGGUUGAUCGCGUCGGAAGUGUAAUCUUGGGGCUUAACCCUGAGCGUGCUUUCGAUACGGGUUGACUUGAGGAAGGUAGGGGAGAAUGGAAUUCCUGGUGGAGCGGUGGAAUGCGCAGAUAUCAGGAGGAACACCAGUGGCGAAGGCGGUUCUCUGGGCCUUUCCUGACGCUGAGGAGCGAAAGCGUGGGGAGCGAACAGGCUUAGAUACCCUGGUAGUCCACGCUGUAAACGGUGGGUACUAGGUGUGGGGUCCAUUCCACGGGUUCCGUGCCGUAGCUAACGCUUUAAGUACCCCGCCUGGGGAGUACGGCCGCAAGGCUAAAACUCAAAGGAAUUGACGGGGCCCCGCACAAGCGGCGGAGCAUGCGGAUUAAUUCGAUGCAACGCGUAGAACCUUACCUGGGUUUGACAUGGAUCGGGAGUGCUCAGAGAUGGGUGUGCCUCUUUUGGGGUCGGUUCACAGGUGGUGCAUGCCUGUCGUCAGCUCGUGUCGUGAGAUGUUGGGUUAAGUCCCGCAACGAGCGCAACCCUUGUUCACUGUUGCCAGCACGUUAUGGUGGGGACUCAGUGGAGACCGCCGGGGUCAACUCGGAGGAAGGUGGGGAUGACGUCAAGUCAUCAUGCCCCUUAUGUCCAGGGCUUCACGCAUGCUACAAUGGCUGGUACAGAGAGUGGCGAGCCUGUGAGGGUGAGCGAAUCUCGGAAAGCCGGUCUCAGUUCGGAUUGGGGUCUGCAACUCGACCUCAUGAAGUCGGAGUCGCUAGUAAUCGCAAAUCAGCAACGCUGCGGUGAAUACGUUCCCGGGGCU
rnacentral:rRNA from 1 species